rnacentral:rRNA from 1 species
ACGGGUGAGUAACACGUAGGCAACCUGCCCCCAAGAUCGGGAUAACAUUCGGAAACGAAUGCUAAGACCGGAUGCACGAUUUGGUCGCAUGAUCGAAUCGGGAAACACGGAGCAAUCUGUGGCUUGAGGAUGGGCCUGCGGCGCAUUAGCUAGUUGGUGGGGUAACGGCUCACCAAGGCGACGAUGCGUAGCCGACCUGAGAGGGUGAACGGCCACACUGGGACUGAGACACGGCCCAGACUCCUACGGGAGGCAGCAGUAGGGAAUCUUCCACAAUGGGCGAAAGCCUGAUGGAGCAACGCCGCGUGAGUGAGGAAGGCUUUCGGGUCGUAAAGCUCUGUUGCCAGGGAAGAAUAAGGAUCAUUUAACUGAUGAUCCGAUGACGGUACCUGAGAAGAAAGCCCCGGCUAACUACGUGCCAGCAGCCGCGGUAAUACGUAGGGGGCAAGCGUUGUCCGGAAUUAUUGGGCGUAAAGCGCGCGCAGGCGGCUCUUUAAGUCUGGUGUUUAAGUGCGGGGCUCAACCCCGUGACGCACUGGAAACUGGGGAGCUUGAGUGCAGAAGAGGAGAGCGGAAU